AGUUGGUGGAGUGAUUUGUCUGGUUAAUUCCGUUAACGAACGAGACCUUAGCCUACUAACUAGUCGUGCCCAUUUAGAUGGGUGUCGACUUCUUAGAGGGACUUUGUGGAUCAAACACAAGGAAGUUUGAGGCAAUAACAGGU
rnacentral:rRNA from 1 species